UAAAAUGGGAGGUAAAUUUCUCCUAAGGCUAAAUAACGGCGAGAGACCGAUAGCGAACAAGUACCGUGAGGGAAAGAUGAAAAGAACUUUGAAAAGAGAGUUAAACAGUACGUGAAAUUGUUGAAAGGGAAACGAUUGAAGCCAGUCGUACCUUCGGGUAAUCAGCCUUUUGGGUGUGAUUUUGUGGAGUGUGAAGAGUUAAACGCCUGCAUAUUCGUGCACUUUGGGUGUACUUGCCCGUGUGGUUGGUUAACAUCAAUUUUGGUUAUCAUAAAAUGACUGGAGGAAUGUAGCUUCGAUCUCGUAUUGAAGUGUUAUAGCCUUCGGUAGAUGUGAUGAUCGAGAUUGAGGAUUGCAACGGAUACCCUUCGGGGCUACCUGUCUGGUCUCUGAUCGUUGCUCUGGUGCCGAAAGCUUGCUUACGGUUAUCAAAGUCGAUGGUCAAUAGGUUAGAACGGGUUAA
rnacentral:rRNA from 1 species